CAGAAAUGAUGAGAUUCCACUUCAUUGGUCCGUGUUUUUGAGUUUUAUGAUAACAGUGGAAGUUCUGAUGGU